rnacentral:rRNA from 1 species
GACGAGGGGGGGCUAGUGUUAUUCGGCAUGAUUGGGCGUAAAGGGCAUGUAGGCGGCAUUUUAAGUUAUUAGUCAAAAUCUAAUGUUUAACAUUAGUCACUGGCUUAUAAUACUGAAAUUGCUUGAGUUAUAUUAAGGAUUGUAGAAUUUUUGGAGAAGCGAUAAAAUGUUGAUCUCAAAAAGAAUACCAAAGGCGAAGGCAACAAUCUAGAUAUAUACUGACGUUGAUAAUGCGAAGGUAUGGGGAGCAAACAGG